GACUCGGUGGCGAAACGGCAUCGCACCUGCGUAAUAUGUUACUAUAUCUGCAAUGACACGUUCUCGCAGGAGGGUUCCCAGUUCGAGUCUGGGCCGGGUCA